rnacentral:sRNA from 1 species
ACACGUCCAAUACGUCCGGUUGUACC